GGAAAUGUCAAGUCCUGGUUUUCCAGAU
rnacentral:piRNA from 1 species